GCUUUGGCUCUAACAGACAAGGGGGAAGCUUCUAGUAGGUCACAGAAGUUACCCCUGUAGCUCCCUCGCUACCAAAACCUGCCAUGCAAACACAAUACACUUAGUAACAUGCUAGGUUUAGGAUUACUGCUUCAGACAGUGUGAAUCAAAUAUUUGUAUCAUCCUUUGAGAAUAAAAGAAAGUGUGUAGUGAUACGGAAACUUUUAGGGGGCAAACACAGAACAAAAAAGAGCUGCUGCAUUCAUUACCGCUGCAAAAGAUAAAAGUAACUGAUCAGCUCAGAGCGAGCAUUUUGUGUAUACCUUGCAUAGAAAGAAAAGGAUUCAAGUAUGAUCAAAUUAGGUUUAUUACAAAGUAAUGACAUAUUUCUGCUAUGAAACUGGCUGGAUAUGAAUAUUCAGCAAUUUCUUGUUCUGGUUCAUGGUUUGCCUGAGAAAACUCAGUUCUCAUGACAGCUAACAACAUUUCACCUGGGAUUAAAGUAAACCACAUUAUUCCUGUUUUCCUGGCUUUACAAAUGUCCAGCUAUGUAUUCUAGUGUAUUCAUGCAUUAAGGAACAGAAAAAUCCUAAGAGGCCUGGGGUUUUCUUUGUUGGACUGGGAGGUUGUAAUUGAAGAAAUGCACAGCAGAGACACAGUUUAUCCCCAGUACUACUGAACAGGACAGCCUUUGAUCAUCAUUGUGGUUGAAGGGUACUAACUCAGUCUCCCUCCCUCAAGGACUGAUAUGGGACUGCCUGUACAUACCUGUUGUCCCAGUGAAUAGCUACGUGAUGGGAGAACUUUGCACCUGAUUCACAGCUGAGUGACAUCAGCUCAUGAAGCUAAAAGGGGAUGUUGAAAUGUCACAGUCCACUUUCUCCCCUCCCUAUGGCUCUCAUGGAGAAGCAGCCUGGAUACCCAGACCUCCAAUACCUGGAAUCAUGCUGCUGGCUGAUGGGAAGGCAGAUGUACCAGCAGUCUGUGCCAUGCACUCACUGCUUAGGCAAAAUGCACUCACAGCGAUCACUCAGGCUGCUGGUGUCCCUUCCUUCACUAAAAGCUUGAGUUAUCUCUAUUUCUUACUGAAAUAAUUAUAAUGAGGCUCAACUUACACAAAAAAAAAAUGUGUAUGGGAAUAAAGAUUCCAGUCUUGACA
rnacentral:lncRNA from 14 species